rnacentral:rRNA from 1 species
AUACGUAGGGGGCGAGCGUUGUCCGGAAUGAUUGGGCGUAAAGGGCGCGUAGGCGGCCCGGUAAGUCUGGAGUGAAAGUCCUGUUUUUAAGAUGGGAAUUGCUUUGGAUACUGUCGGGCUUGAGUGCAGGAGAGGUAAGUGGAAUUCCCAGUGUAGCGGUGAAAUGCGUAGAGAUUGGGAGGAACACCAGUGGCGAAGGCGACUUACUGGACUGUAACUGACGCUGAGGCGCGAAAGUGUGGGGAGCAAACAGGAUUAGAUACCCUGGUAGUCCACACUGUAAACGAUGAAUGCUAGGUGUAGGGGGUAUCGACCCCUUCUGUGCCGCAGUCAACACAAUAAGCAUUCCGCCUGGGGAGUACAGCCGCAAGGUUGAAACUCAAAGGAAUUGACGGGG